rnacentral:rRNA from 1 species
GAUGAACGCUGGCGGCGUGCCUAAUACAUGCAAGUCGAGCGAACAGACGAGGAGCUUGCUCCUCUGACGUUAGCGGCGGACGGGUGAGUAACACGUGGAUAACCUACCUAUAAGACUGGGAUAACUUCGGGAAACCGGAGCUAAUACCGGAUAAUAUAUUGAACCGCAUGGUUCAAUAGUGAAAGACGGUUUUGCUGUCACUUAUAGAUGGAUCCGCGCCGCAUUAGCUAGUUGGUAAGGUAACGGCUUACCAAGGCGACGAUGCGUAGCCGACCUGAGAGGGUGAUCGGCCACCCUGGAACUGAGACACGGUCCAGACUCCUACGGGAGGCAGCAGUAGGGAAUCUUCCGCAAAGGGCGAAAGCCUGACGGAGCAACGCCGCGUGAGUGAUGAAGGUCUUCGGAUCGUAAAACUCUGUUAUUAGGGAAGAACAAAUGUGUAAGUAACUAUGCACGUCUUGACGGUACCUAAUCAGAAAGCCACGGCUAACUACGUG